rnacentral:rRNA from 1 species
CCUACGGGGGGCAGCAGUGGGGAAUAUUGGACAAUGGGGGCAACCCUGAUCCAGCCAUGCCGCGUGUGUGAAGAAGGCCCUCGGGUUGUAAAGCACUUUCAGUGAGGAAGAACGCCUGGUGGUUAAUACCCAUCAGGAAAGACAUCACUCACAGAAGAAGCACCGGCUAACUCCGUGCCAGCAGCCGCGGUAAUACGGAGGGUGCGAGCGUUAAUCGGAAUUACUGGGCGUAAAGCGCGCGUAGGUGGCUUGAUAAGCCGGUUGUGAAAGCCCCGAGCUCAACCUGGGAACGGCAUCCGGAACUGUCAAGCUAGAGUGCAGGAGAGGAAGGUAGAAUUCCCGGUGUAGCGGUGAAAUGCGUAGAGAUCGGGAGGAAUACCAGUGGCGAAGGCGGCCUUCUGGACUGACACUGACACUGAGGUGCGAAAGCGUGGGUAGCAAACAGGAUUAGAUACCCCUGUAGUC